CACGUAGGGGGCGAGCGUUGUCCGGAUUCAUUGGGCGUAAAGGGCGCGUAGGCGGCCUUCUAAGUCGGACGUGAAAUCCCUCGGCUUAACCGAGGAACUGCGUCCGAUACUGAAAGGCUUGAAUCCGGGAGAGGGAUGUGGAAUUCCAGGUGUAGCGGUGAAAUGCGUAGAUAUCUGGAGGAACACCGGUGGCGAAGGCGGCAUCCUGGACCGGCAUUGACGCUGAGGCGCGAAAGCUAGGGGAGCAAACGGG
rnacentral:rRNA from 1 species